GGCGAAGUGAGUGAGUGGCUAGCUGGCAGGCUGCAACCCUGACCCACGCCGGUUCGAUCCCGGUCUUCGUCUCGA
rnacentral:tRNA from 1 species